CAUCAUCAAUAAAGAAUGCCAUUGACCAAACCUUCAGUCAUCAACGGAGAUGGAUACAGGUAAUGACAAAAUCACCAACUGUUGGUGAAAUCUUUAAGGAAUAUCCCCAAUGUCUGGACAUGCCAGUCUUUGUAAUAUACUUAACUGCAGAUAACUUUAAACAAAGUGUUUCAUCAUUUCAAUAUUAAUAUUUCUUAUUAAAUUUACUGAAGGUGGACAUCAAGUUUUCCAGACUUACCGAUAGGAAAGAAGACAUGUUUAUCAGGAAAUGGGAGGUGAAAAUUAUUGAGAAACUCAGGGAAAUAGCAUCUUUAGAGAAGAAAAUGGACAUCAGACAUUCAUUGAAGAAAGCUGACAGUCAACAUAAUGAUCUUCUGCUGUGUGAAGUCUGUGUGAAGUCUCAGACCUGUGGGACUUGGUGGCGGCUGGUACCAGCGUGACCUCUUUGCUUACUAAAUGAUGAAAAGGUGUCUAAAAUCAGCUCAGCCACAGUUGGUUUCCAGCGGUUCUUCAGGACAUAGAGGCCACUAUGUAAUUGUCGCAAUGAAUGAUUCUCUUGCCUUUCCACUUGAUGUUUACAAUCUGACCUGUGCGGUAGAAAGACUUUUCAAAUUUACUAGCUAAGUAACCUUAAGUAUCCCUGCCAACUGUCUUCAGGUUUUUUUUGGUAUGAAUAUGAUCUACCCUUGUCCCAGUCCUCUUGCAAACGAUCCAAGCCAAUGGAGUUUCAAAAUGGACCGAAAAUUGCAGUCUGUUUUAACCAAUGCAUGCACUGUGUGGCGGUUUCCCGGACAGGGAUUAGACUAGUCCUAGACUAAAACAUUUUUAAGAGCUGUCCAAACUGAAAACAACUUGCACUGACAUAUCUUAAAAUACAUCAGUGCCCUUUGUUUUGCCUCAAAAUGCACACAGGUAAUGUUUUUAUUAAGGCAUGUUUGUUAAAACCAGAUAUAUUUCCUAAUUAAUCUAAGGCCUAGUCCUGGAUUAAGAUAAUCCCUGUCCGGGAAACCGCCCCUAAAUAUUUUGUGAUGGAAAUUUCUUUGAAUACACUUGUCAAGUUCAUUUGAAGUAU